rnacentral:rRNA from 1 species
GUCUCCGGGCACACCACCCCCAACGCGCCCGGUCUCCUCUGAUCUUGGAAGCAAAGCAGGGUCGGGUCUGGCUAGUACUUGGACGGGAGAAGGCGAGAGGAUCGAGUGUUCAGGGCACA